rnacentral:misc_RNA from 1 species
GAUGAAGAACGUAGCGAAAUGCGAUAAGUAAUGUGAAUUGCAGAAUUCAGUGAAUCAUCGAAUCUUUGAACGCACAUUGCGCCCCCUGGUAUUCCGGGGGGCAUGCCUGUUCGAGCGUCAUUUCACCACUCAAGCCUCGCUUGGUAUUGGGCAACGCGGUCCGCCGCGUGCCUCAAAUCGACCGGCUGGGUCUUCUGUCCCCUAAGCGUUGUGGAAACUAUUCGCUAAAGGGUGUUCGGGAGGCUACGCCGUAAAACAACCCCAUUUCUAAGGUUGACCUCGGAUCAGGUAGGGAUACCCGCUGAACUUAAGCAUAAAAAUAAGCGGAGGA